rnacentral:misc_RNA from 1 species
GAUGAAGAACGUAGCGAAAUGCGAUAAGUAGUGUGAAUUGCAGAAUUCGGUGAAUCAUCGAAUCUUUGAACGCACAUUGCGCCUCCUGGUAUUCCGGGAGGCAUGCCUGUUCGAGCGUCAUUAAAAUCACUCAAGCUUAGGUUUACCUAUUGCUUGGUCUUGGAGAUGGAAGCCAAUUUAUUGGAAUCCUCUUCGAAAUUCAAUGGCGAAGACCCUUGCUCUCCCAAGUGUAGUAAUAACUUAUGUCACUGAAGGAAGCGAGAAAUCUUCUGCCGUAACCCCCAUAUUUUCUAUGAUUGACCUCGGAUCAGGUAGGGAUACCCGCUGAACUUAAGCAUAUCAAUAAGCGGAGGA